rnacentral:tRNA from 1 species
GUCUCAGUAGCAUAGUGGUUAGUGCACAGCGCGGAUAGGUUGAGACGCGCGUUCGAAUCCCGCCUGAGAUG